CUGCAUCCUCAUGGUCACUAGUUGGGUUUGUAACCCACUGAGCCACAACAGGAAUUCCAGGGAUAAGAUAAUAGUCUAACAGAAACAGUAAAAGAGGCCACUGGCUAUUGGGAACAGGCCCAAAAUGUCACUGGAUUACUUGCCUGAAGAGAUGAUGUUCAGAUGCUGUCACAAAAAAUGCCACACUCACCUGGGACCAAGGACAGAUAUGAAUGGGAAGGUCUGAACCUUUCCUUGCUAUGAGGUCACACCAGAUCACUGCGCAUGAGUCGCACCUAGGACGGUCACUUGGAGAGAUUGUCGGAAGCCUCUGUCCCUUGAGGUCACCACGGGGAAAGAGAACAUACUAGUUGCUCAAAUGUGGAAGGCAAUUAUUUUCCUUUUUUUUGCCCCUGAGGUAAUUAGUUAAGUACUUCAAAGAGAAUUUCAACUUCACGCAAUGAUUUCUAUUAGAGCCUAAACAGAAAAUAUAAAAGCAGCAGAUUUGCUAAAUAAACCUAAGUAAUUAGCAGUCUAACUGGUUAUUUUUCAGUUUAUUAUUUUUUGCUUCAUAGGUAUAUGAUUUUUCAACUUCCCGUUCUGCCGAGGCUGCUGUACAUGGGAGCCCUGGGCCUCAAGCAUCAUCACAAGCCUCUUGGGAGUGUGUUGCCUGCUGCUGAGGAAAAAGAGUCGCUCAAGGCAAGAAGACCCAGAGCCAGCAAGACUGAAACAAAAAGCAAAGGAGAGUUUGCCUGUUUGGUAUGGUAGCCGCACAACAGGGAAUACACGACUGCUAUUGCGUUUCUACUGGGGCUUUCAAGAACGUGGCUUUUGACGGAAGACUCUGUCCCUGGACCUGGUGGUCUCUCUCUCUGACCAGUGCUUGGGCUUGGCAGGUAAAUGAUACCCUUCCAAACAGGAGAUUUUGUCUCAUCUUCUGUCUUCCAUGAAGUCAUGACAGUAAGGAGCUUCACAUUUCAUGUGUUUCAUUUUUCAGAACUUAAAGAAUUUCAAGUAAUUCAUACACAUGCUUUUACAAAUUUCAAGAAGUCCUGAAGGGCUUGCAAUGAAAAGCACAGCACUGGGCUUAUCUUCUCUUCCUCUCAUGUUGCUCCUCAGAGCGAUCACUUUAUAAAACAAAAUUUUUAUCGAGGUAAAAUUUACAUACAUUGAAAUGCACAGUUGAAAAGUCUUCAAAUAGAUUGAUUAAUUGGUAUGGUUUGUGACUACCACCAUGCUCAAGAUACGGGUCAUUUUUAUCACCCAGAAAAUGCCCUCAUGACCUUCUUGUCACCAUUGUCACUGUUGCUGGGUUUUUUUAAUUUAUUUUUUCAUUGAAGUGUAGUUGAUUUUCUUUUUUUUUUUUCUUUUUUUUUUCUUUUUUGUCUUUUUAGGGCCACACCCACAGCAAAUAGAGGUUCCCAGGCUAGGGGUCAAAUUGGAGCUGUAGGCGCUGGCCUACACCACAGCCACACAACGCUAGAUCUGAGCCGUGUCUGUGACCUACACGACAGCUCAUGGCAGCACCGGAUCCUUAACGCACUGAGUGAGGCCAGGGAUCGAACCUGUGUCCUCAUGGAUGCUAGUCAGAUUCCUUUCUGCUGAGCCACCACGGGAAUGCCUAGUUGAUUUUCAAUGUUGUGUGUUUCACGUGUACAGCAAUACAUAUAUUCAGUUAUGCAUAUAUGUAUUCUUUUCUUUUAUGCAUAGUGAC
ensembl:lncRNA